rnacentral:lncRNA from 1 species
UCUCUCUCUCUCUCUCUCUCUCUCUCUCUCUCUCUCUCUUCUCGUUUCUAUACAGCAUCAGGCUUCCAGAAAGCUUUUUAUCAUUUUCACCAUCGGUUCUGAAGCAGACAAAAAGCUUCCACGGGUACAGUGCCUUCUCAUCUUUUUUUUUCCUUUCAUUUUUUAAAUUUAAUUUUCAAGGAACAAGGAAUCUCCAGCUCGCCUUUCUUUUAUUCUUGCUCUAGUGAAAUCAUUAAUGAUGGCAAGUAAGAAAGAAGGCGAUCAUUAAAAGCAAUGAAAGAGAAGGCAAAGAAAGGAAAGAGAAGAAGAAAAAGUUACUUUCUUGUGUUCUUUUUUCGUUUUGUUAAACUCUUUCUUGUCUUCUUUAACAUCUCAGGAUUCCCAUGUUUCCGCAGUAGAGUCCAGCUUUGUCUUGUCGGAAAACAAACAAAAUCCUACUUUCCUUGUAUCCAAGUUUCUUUCUCACAAUAGAGUCCAUUUCUUCGUGGCACCUCAACCUGUUUGUAAGAGACAUAUAUCUACUGCAUAUAUAGUUUUUCUGAAGGUCUCGAAGAAAUCUAAAAGCUAAAACAGUAAUUUCAAUAAAACUGGAAAACAAAAUAAAGCACAUGUAGAACAAUCAAAAUCCUUUUCUUCCUCCCUCCUUCCUUGCCAUUAAGCUCUCUCUCUCUCUCUCUCUCUCUCUCUCUC